rnacentral:rRNA from 1 species
GGCAGCAGCCGCGGUAACACCGGCGGCCCGAGUGGUGAUCGUGAUUAUUGGGUCUAAAGGGUCCGUAGCCGGUUUGGUCAGUCCUCCGGGAAAUCUGAUAGCUCAACUAUUAGGCUUUCGGGGGAUACUGCCAGACUUGGAACCGGGAGAGGUAAGAGGUACUACAGGGGUAGGAGUGAAAUCUUGUAAUCCCUGUGGGACCACCUGUGGCGAAGGCGUCUUACCAGAACGGGUUCGACGGUGAGGGACGAAAGCUGGGGGCACGAACCGGAUUAGAUACCCGGGUAGUCCCAGCCGUAAACGAUGCUCGCUAGGUGUCAGGCAUGGCGCGACUGUGUCUGGUGCCGCAGGGAAGCCGUGAAGCGAGCCACCCGGGAAGUACGGCCGCAAGGCUGAAACUUAAAGGAAUUGGCGGGGGAGCACAACAACGGGUGGAGCCUGCGGUUUAAUUAGACUCAACGCCGGACAACUCACCGGGGGCGACAGCAAUAUGUAGGCCAAGCUGAAGACUUUGCCUGAAUCGCUGAGGGGAGGUGCAUGG